GUAGAAAGGAAAACUGUUUGUUGUCUAGUCUAUUUCAGCCUCAUUCAGAUCAAGAUGAUGGAUCUAUUCCUUAUUAUUAUUUUUUGGGUUUUACCAUUUAACAUUAUUUCUUCAUCCAGCUGUCUCAAGGGUUUCUAAAAAUUCAGCUCUAGACUGCAGAUGAGGGCAAGGACUUCAUAGAAGUGAAAUUCUAUUACACAAAUGACUUAUCCAAAACUUUUCAGCACACACUGUUGAUGUUAAGGGUCCUGCAUGGCAGAAGCAGCAUGGCAGAACAUUUUAUACAGAAAUACAGACCAGCUAUCUUCAAGUGCUGCGUGUCAAGCCAGUCCUUCAGUUCACUUGCUUCAUGAUUUCUCAGCCCUGCAUUACUCUGUCAUCAAAAGAGUUUUUCUGUCAGCACAUGAGCUUUUCUCUAUGUGUCAGUGACAAACAUGUUGGCUCCAUUUCCACUGCAGAAGAACCACACUUCAAUGCACAGGUUUUUGUACAACUGGACUUCUCAGACAGAUUUCUGUUGCUACAUUUAUGUAGCAAAGGCAUCUUUGUGGGAGAUUUAGGUCAAAAUCCCAAAAUUAAAGGUAAAUAUUAUAUGCACAAAUGCAUACCUAAUAUGCAAAACUGAUAAGCACAUAACACUUCAG
rnacentral:lncRNA from 1 species